ACACGGACCAAGGAGUGCAAGAGGCGUGCAAGUCUUUGGGUUGUUUGAGACCCUUGGGCGCAAUGAAAGUGAAGGGGGGCCACGCGUUCCCCGAGGCGAGAGCCUGCCCGCGUUGCUGGGCCCAUCGUCGACCGAUCCCGGGCUGCUCUGCGGUGGGAUUCGAGUGAGAGCAUGCCUGUUGCGACCCGAAAGAUGGUGAACUAUGCCUGAAUAGGGCGAAGCCAGAGGAAACUCUGGUGGAAGCUCGCAGCGGUUCUGACGUGCAAAUCGAUCGUCAAAUUUGGGUAUAGGGGCGAAAGACUAAUCGAACCGUCUAGUAGCUGGUUCCCUCCGAAGUUUCCCCCAGGAUAGCUGGAGCCCGGUGCAGUUUUAUCAGGUAAAGCGAAUGAUUAGAGGUCUUGGGGUUGAAACAACCUCAACCUAUUCUCAAACUUUAAAUGGGUAAGAAGCUCGGCUUGCUCGGUUGAAGUCGGGCGUUGGAAUGCCGGGGCUCCUAGUGGGCCAUUUUUGGUAAGCAGAACUGGCGAUGCGGGAUGAACCGAACGCUGGGUUAAGGUGCCCGAAUCGACGCUCAUCAGAUCCCAUAAAAGGUGUUGGUUGAUCUAGACAGCAGGACGGUGGCCAUGGAAGUCGGAACCCGCUAAGGAGUGUGUAACAACU
rnacentral:rRNA from 1 species